GUUCAUGCUAAUUCACAACUACAUUGUGAAGGAUAGCCAGCUUAUUAUUCAAACUCUUUCAAUCAUGAUAUAUCUUUACCUUGUUUUUUUUAAACUUGCUGGGCAAAUUUCAUGCUCACCCUUUCUAUAUCAUGAUAAAACAUUGCAGAUAAGGCGAAUACGGCCAGAUACAGAAAAAGGAUAAUGCCAAGUUCAGCUUGGUACAGAAUGUGAAGUUAAGUUGUAAAGUAUGUUGAAGAAUAGUAUUGUCAUAUGCUAGAUAGUUCAUGAUUGUGUAUAAGUGAAGGUUACUCGAUUCUGGGGAAAUGUGUGUAAAGUUUAAUGUAUAAACAAUCUAUAUUUAUAUCUUCCGCAAACAGUUGUAGAAUGAUUAUACCGAAUCCGCGGCGAUUUGGGACCCGGAUUCGGGGACGUCACAAAAAUAG
rnacentral:lncRNA from 1 species